rnacentral:rRNA from 1 species
UAAGAUCAAAAUGUAGCUGAGCUGUCAUAAGCCCAAGAUACACCUAAGACCACCCCUAAGGCGAUCUUAGCACCUCGCGAUCUAUUAAACUCCACGAAAGCUAAGGCCCAAACUGGGAUUAGAUACCCCACUAUGCCUAGCCCUAAAUCCUAAUGCUUACCAUACCAAAGCAUUCGCCUGGGAACUACGAGCACAAACGCUUAAAACCCUAAGGACUUGGCGGUGCCCCAAACCCACCUAGAGGAGCCUGUUCUAUAAUCGAUACCCCACGAUACACCCGACCACUCCUUGCCAAGGCAGCCUACAUACCGCCGUCGCCAGCUCACCUCCAUUGAAAGCAUAAUAGUGAGCACAAUAGUCCAAACCCACUAACAAGACAGGUCAAGGUAUAGCCUAUGGAGCGGAAGAAAUGGGCUACAUUUUCUAGCAUAGAGAACAUACGGAAGGGGGUGUGAAACCACCCCUAGAAGGCGGAUUUAGCAGUAAAACGGGACAAUAGAGCCCGCUUUAAGUCGGCCCUGGGCACGUACAUACCGCCCGUCACCCUCC